ACUAUUUUGGCAGAAAAGUGCCAUGAAUUUAGAAUUCAUAAAUAUAGGACAGUCCUAUAGGUAGUAC
rnacentral:tRNA from 1 species